AUUGAACGCUGGCGGCAGGCCUAACACAUGCAAGUCGCACGAGUGGCGGACGGGUGAGUAAUGUCUGGGAAACUGCCCGAUGGAGGGGGAUAACUACUGGAAACGGUAGCUAAUACCGCAUACCAUCGGAUGUGCCCAGAUGGGAUUAGUUAGUAGGUGGGGUAAUGGCUCACCUAGGCGACGAUCCCUAGCUGGUCUGAUCUGAUGACCAGCCACACUGGAACGGAGACACGGUCCAGACUCCGACGUGAGGCAGCAGUGGUGAAUAUUGCACAAUGGGCGCAUGCCUGAUACAGCCAUGCCGCUUGUAUGAAGAAGGCCUUCGGGUUGUAAAGUACUUUCAGCGAGGAGGCGUUACUCGCAGAAGAAGCACCGGCUAACUCCGUGCCAGCAGCCGCGGUAAUUC
rnacentral:rRNA from 1 species